rnacentral:misc_RNA from 1 species
AGUAGCGCAUGUAGCAAAAGUUUGGUGAGCUUCAUUAGCUUGAUCCUCCUUGAUAUUGCAUAUUUUAAUGGCUAUUGAUCGUUCAUCUUCUUUUGUGUUAGCAGUACGAGAGGCAGAUGUAUAUUUUGUUGCCUCUAGACAAUUUAACCGUUGGGUUGACGCUCAAGAGCUCUGUCUCUCGUACAAAGUUGAUCGAUUAGCUAUCGGUACACACAGCUAGGCACAGCGGUGCUGCUCCCGAGCCUCCGCGCAUCGAGGCAAUCAGUAUUGGUGUGGUUUGUGUAUAGAAGGGAGACAGACAAGCCAGAUAUCAUGUUGCCUGUAAAGGUGUUUGUUUCAGCGACGUUAUUGCUUAGCUGCAGCUGCUUAGGUGCGAAACUUCAAGACCCCAGAAACCAGGUGCUGCAGACUACUGAAGUUUUUCAUUUUUAUAUUGAUAAAGGAAUGUUUGACGCGUCAAUAGAUAGCUACGGGCAUACAGAAUUCAGAGCUGCUUUGCUAGGAAAGCCGGACUUACCAAAGUGGAUGUUCCUACGGCAAACCGGCAACUCAAAUAGGGCACUUUUGUACGGUUCGUAUCAAGAUGAUGGGGAACUCAACAUUGAGGUCUUUGCUAUUAACAAGUACAACUACAAGACUUCUUUACGGGUAAUUAGUCUUCAGGUGGAAAAAAGGCCAAAGGAAGCACUUUACGAGGUCGAGAUGAAGUUCUUAAAUCUCAAUAUCGAAGACCUCUUCGAGGGUGACUGGUUAUCUGAUUUAGAAGACAUUUUUCGAGAUCAUUUAUGGAAAGAAAGUCCCGAAAUCUAUGUGACAAAAGUGGCUUCAGUGGUGGAUAUUGGUGGCAGGGUACCUGUCAAUCCUAAGGACAAGGAAGGGAUAGUCGUACGCAUUGGUGGGACAACUAACUUUUCCCAGGAGCUACGCACAUUAGAAGUUGAGGCCAAUCAGCUGCGAAACAGGGUCUCCUGCCCACGUGACUACAAACGAACCUCUGCUGAGUACCGUUUUCGAAGUAGGAGCUUUCUGCCUGACUGGUGUGGAUUUCGUUUAAUAACACUGCCUGAGCAACUAGAUGGCGAAGGAAUGAUGCAGCACCAAGACGCUGCCUUCUCACCCAUCCCACUAGAAGAGGACAGUUAUAAUCCACCCGAUAUGGGACACCUACCUAGAAGGGACUUGCUGUCGGACUUUCUGCUCUCUCUGCUGCUGCCCGGAUUUGUCACGGCUAUGCUGCUCAGUACACUCACCUGCUUCAUGUGCUGCCAGCACGAAGAGGAAAUCCCGAGUACGCAGGUAGAACAACACAGCUCCAUUGAACGUGCCACCAACGCCCUGCGCCAAAUGGCCUCCAAGCGCAACCUCUCCUCAGCAGCCUCCUCUCGGGUCCAUUCUCGUGCUGGUAGCCCUCUCGAUGCUUCGCUUCCACGACCGUCUCGGCAAGGAACACUCAAGCUUCGGGCACUCCCUCCACCACCAUAUUCUGCAGCUCAGAGUGAUGCCUGAUUCUGGAGACCAGUAGGGUAGGAACCCGAGGAAACCUGGUUCAGUGUUUUCCCAGCUAAUCUUCUUUAGCCAAAGCCGUUAACAAACUUAAGACAUUCAUCUUAGCUUUGACUGCACGUAGCUGUGUCUUUGGUACAAGUCGUUCACUGUCUGUUGACACCUGGUGAGCUUCCAUGGCAAGAAAGAAAUGUAUAGGCUGCAACAACAAAAAAAAUGUGCUACUCUCCAAGAGACAUUGACUUCUUUAUCAUUUCGCUCCCAAGAGAACUGUAAAUAUUCUCCUAAAUUAAGGAUUAUGGCUAUGUGCUUGCAGUAAAUUACAUAUUACUGUUUCUGUGGCUAAAAUUAACUUGCUUGUGCUUUAGGAAUGAAACAAGCUAGUUUUCCCCCGUGCAUUUGCUUUACUUAUUAGUUUCAUUGAAAUAAAUGUCUGCGAGAGUUAUUGAUUGCAUUUAGUAAACUAGAUCUAAACUUUGGGGCUGUAGCUUAUCGAAUUUUAUACGUUUCUAGGUAGUGGUUAGGUCCAACGAUCUCUGCAUGAUGCCAUUAUAGUGGCUAUUGCAUUACUACUUAGCUAUGGUGCAGAAAGUUAAGUUAGCUUGUACACACUCUACUAUUUUGUUUACAGGAAAAGGAUUCUUUAAAAAAAGGAUAUACCCACAAUAUGUUGGCAAUGGAAUGGAUUAUGAUAGACAGGAAGAGAGCUGAGUCUACUACAAAACAGAGAUAACUGCCAUUUAGGGGGAAAAAAGUGGUCCUGGACAGGUCAUAUAAUAUUAUAGCAAAAGGCAGAUAAACUGAUGGCCAGUUAGAACAAGGAGAUGGGGAAACAUGGCAGCGGGUUAGGCAAGGUGAUGAAAUUAAGAAAUGUGCAAGUUGGACAUUGAAUCAACUUGUCCAAGAUAGGGUAAAUUGGAGGUCAUUGAGAGAAAGAGGCCUUUGUUCCUGCAGUGGACAUAAAGUUGGUGGAUGUUGAUGAUGAAUGAACUGGCACUAUGUGUAGCCCAACUGUUCUGUUUGGCAGCAUGCAUACUAUGAAGUUUUUGCUGUUGAUUUGUGUUGCAGAAUUAUACA